UAGCAACGGACCUGGAGAAGGGCAGGGCAGCGCGCUGGGAUUUUGCGUCUUGUAGCUGAGCCAAAAGCAGCAGUGAAGUGGAUAACUCUGGGUUACUUCUGCAAAGUAGCCUCGGAGUGGAAACAACGAGCUCCAAUAAAGUCUAUUAUACCAGCGUGUCAGGGUCUAGGGAGAUGUUUCAGAUGGAGGAGAUAAAGAACACUGUUUAGGAUGGGAGAGGAAAAAUGCCAGUGAGUGAAUGGCCAAAAUCCUCGGAGAAGACUAGUUUUGUUACAGGGAAAUUGAUAUCCAGAGAAUAUUGAGAAGCUGAAGCUUCCCAGACCCCAACUCCUUGGCUUCCUGGUGCCAAAAUCCACCAUUCGUCACAGAGGCAGACAACCAAGGACACCCAGUUGUGGAUUCCCUUAUCUGCCAAACACAGGCUGAUGGGAAAACACCAACCAGCAAGGCCACAGGCUCCCCCUCCCUACAAGCAGCUGCAUUCCUCGCAACCUUUAAAACCCAGUGCCUCCCAUCUUUCGGAUGGAGAUGAUUUUGAGGGCUCACUCUCGUCUCCCAGCUGACGUCACCCAAAAUAAAAACUCUU